GCCCUCUCUUAUUCCUCCUGUGAAAACCAGCCAGGAGUUCCUUGGGUCCAAUCCCCCUUUGUUUAAUCUUUUGUCAUCUCUAUAUCCUCAGGCUCAUCAGGGAGGUGCCAAAGGUUGAUGUCAAGAGAGUCCUUGAAGACUCACCGGAAGAAUGUGUCAUCACUCGUUCAGAUAGCUAUGGCCCUUCUGACUCCAGCCAGCCUCACGGAGACACCAAUGAAAUCACAUUUGAGGAAGACAAAGUCAACUCUGCACUGGUUGUCGAGAGUCCAUCAUCUCAUGAUGUAGCGGAGGAUGCUCUAAUCAUUCUUUCAGAAGAUCGAAAAGAUCAUGAGGAGGACCGGCAAUAUGGAGACAGCCAAAAUAAACUUCUUAUGAGUCAAGCGGCCUACGACAUGGGCUGCCGGCUGAAGACGGAAG